UGAUCCCGAGUUCUUUCCACCGGCGGCCCCAAGUGCUGAGACAAGCCAGAUGGGGCAGGAGUGAUGGGCCGCCCCUUUUAAGGAAGCGAGGACCCCAGCAGGAGCUUUUCUCUGUCACACCGGGAAUGCAGUCCGCUCUCCUCCAAAGGGAGAGCUGCUGUCACUGCAGAAAGGGGCCUCCGCACUUUCUUCACACCCCUCCUGUGCCUACCCACAGCACUGUGUGCCACCCCGGGAAGCUGGGGUCUCCCUCGUGACAGCUGUGAGGCGGGCUGGGGGCUGCUGAUGAAGGAGAAGGGAAGGGAUUCAUCUCUGUGUUCGAGAGGCCUGAGGAACGCUCCGCUCGCAUUUAAAGUGAAUUUCUUGCUAGUGACAGUUGGUGGAUUGAUGGCCCUGGAACCUGACGCCCAGGGAUAAUUCCAAGAUGGCUGUCCUAUGACAUAGCACCAUCAGCAUGGAGGGGUGCCUUGGGGAGGAGGUUCAUACAGCAAAGCGAUGGCAUUGAACAUACCCAGCAAAAACGGCUGUUGGUUUGCACUCGGAUGAGCACACGCAGCUAGCUGGGCUGGGAGCAUUACUAACCUACAUGAACUCUCCAGGCAAAAGCCAAAGAGCUGAAGUGGAGACCAAAGCAACUGCGUCAUCGCACAGACUAACAAGCUGCAAAGCAUCUCUCCUGACCAGGAAUGUCCCUGAGCCAGAGGAACACAAGACAAAUCACAACUGUAACCCAUCAGAGAGGGGCACUUACGCUGGCUGUUCCUGUUGCUGUUGACCUCUAAACAAUCAUUUCACAAAACUUAAGUUUGGGGCACAGUGAAUUUCACUUUUGCAAACUAAGCCCCCUCGCAGCCCGUGGGAUUGGGAAAACCUGGCUGCUGCUUUUGGCUGGAAGCAAAUUUAGUAUCGGAUUUGAAAUGUCCUCAUAAAUGGCAGGCGAGGAACGUCCUCAGACCCUGGGCUGUAAGCAGUGCUGCCAAGAGCUGCUCUGAAAUGCCCAUAAAAGAAGAUUUGCAGGGAUCUGAUGCAUCUGGAACAAACAUUUCCAUACACCU